rnacentral:rRNA from 1 species
GGGUGAGUAACACGUGGAUAACCUACCUAUAAGACUGGGAUAACUUCGGGAAACCGGAGCUAAUACCGGAUAAUAUAUUGAACCGCAUGGUUCAAUAGUGAAAGACGGUUUUGCUGUCACUUAUAGAUGGAUCCGCGCCGCAUUAGCUAGUUGGUAAGGUAACGGCUUACCAAGGCAACGAUGCGUAGCCGACCUGAGAGAGUGAUCGGCCACACUGGAACUGAGACACGGUCCAG